rnacentral:pre_miRNA from 1 species
AGUGGGAUAACUGGGUCAAAUGGUGGUUCCAUUCCAAGUUUUCUGAGGAAUCUCUAUAUUGCUUUCCAGAGUAGUUGCCCCCCAAUUUGCAGUCCCAUCAGUAAU